rnacentral:tRNA from 1 species
AGGUCAAUAGCUUAAAGGACAAAGCAUAACGUUCCUAACGUUACGACUAGGGGUUCAAGUCCCCUUUGACCUG